rnacentral:rRNA from 1 species
UACGUAGGGGGCAAGCGUUGUUCGGAUUCAUUGGGCGUAAAGGGUGCGUAGGCGGCGCGGUAAGUCGGGUGUGAAAUCUCGGAGCUUAACUCCGAAACUGCAUUUGAUACUGCGGUGCUUGAGGACUGGAGAGGAGACUGGAAUUCAUGGUGUAGCAGUGAAAUGCGUAGAGAUCAUGAGGAAGACCAGUGGCGAAGGCGGGUCUCUGGACAGUUCCUGACACUGAGACACGAAGGCCAGGGGAGCAAACGGG